UACGUAGGGUGCGAGCGUUGUCCGGAAUUAUUGGGCGUAAAGAGCUCGUUAGGCGGUUUGUCGCGUCGGCCGUGAAAACCUGCAGCUUAACUGUGGGCGUGCGGUCGAUACGGGCAUCACUGGAGUUCGGCAGGGGAGACUGGAAUUCCUGGUGUAGCGGUGAAAUGCGCAGAUAUCAGGAGGAACACCGGUGGCGAAGGCGGGUCUCGUGGGCC
rnacentral:rRNA from 1 species